rnacentral:rRNA from 1 species
UAGCAAUACGGUGGAAAGUUCAGUGGCGAACGGGUGCGUAACACGUGGGCAAUCUGCCUUGAAGUGUGGGAUAGCUCGGCGAAAGCCGGAUUAAUACCGCAUGUGGCUACUGGAGACAUCUUCGGGACGCUAAAGGUGGCGCAAGCUACCGCUUUUUGAGGAGCCCGCGGCCUAUCAGCUUGUUGGUGAGGUAACGGCUCACCAAGGCGUUGACGGGUAGCUGGUCUGAGAGGACGACCAGCCACACUGGGACUGAGACACGGCCCAGACACCUACGGGUGGCAGCAGUCGAGAAUUUUUGACAAUGGGGGAAACCCUGAUCGAGCGACGCCGCGUGGAGGAUGAAGGUCUUCGGGUUGUAAACUCCUGUCAUUUGGGAACAAGGCGUAUUUAUUAACUGUAAGUACGUUGAUAGUACCAGAAGAGGAAGAGACGGCUAACUCUGUGCCAGCAGCCGCGGUAAUACAGAGGUCUCAAGCGUUGUUCGGAUUCAUUGGGCGUAAAGGGUGGUGUAGGUGGCGCGCUAAGUCGGGUGGUGAAAUUUCGGAGCUUAACUCCGAAACUGCAUUCGAUACUGGCGUGCUGAGACUGAAAGAGACUGAAUUUCUCGGUGUAGCAAAGGCGAUU